GAGGUAGAUCUCAGGCUGACCUAUAAGACCUGGUUUACGUUCGCCCAGCCUAAAGAAAGGCAGACCCAUAUGGACAGGCAGAAAGGAGCCCCAUGAACUCUGCAAUGUUGAUGACAAAAAUGGAUGCGUUUGUUCUGAACAUCAUAUCAUGCAGAACUAAUACUAUGAGACGUAACUAAAGAGCUUUAUAGAUGGAGGACAAAUCACCAAGGUGGAGUCCAAAUGAGUAGCCACCAUUUGUCAGAAAAAAGGUCAAGAGGACUAAAUCUCAAGAUGGGCUCAGACUUUCAGAAAGGUUGAAUAAAAGCAACAGAAAGCAAGGGCCCUGUUGCCAAGUCUGAGGACCUGUUUUCUGCCGCCAAGGUCAUAUGGGAACCACAAGGAAAGCCAAGAAUGUGAUAAAGUGAAAAUAACAAAA